rnacentral:tRNA from 1 species
GGGUUGGUAGCUCAGUGGUUAGAGCUUAGGUCACAAACCGGAAGGUCCUGGGAUCGAAUCCCGCUAUAGGCUG